AACGAACGCUGGCGGCAUGCCUAACACAUGCAAGUCGAACGAGACCUUCGGGUCUAGUGGCGCACGGGUGCGUAACGCGUGGGAACCUGCCCUUAGGUUCGGAAUAACUCCCCGAAAGGGGUGCUAAUACCGGAUAAUGUCUUCGGACCAAAGAUUUAUCGCCUUUGGAUGGGCCCGCGUUGGAUUAGCUAGUUGGUAGGGUAAAAGCCUACCAAGGCGACGAUCCAUAGCUGGUCUGAGAGGAUGAUCAGCCACACUGGGACUGAGACACGGCCCAGACUCCUACGGGAGGGAGCAGUGGGGAAUAUUGGACGAUGGGCGAAAGCCUGAUCCAGCAAUGCCGCGUGAGUGAUGAAGGCCUUAGGGUUGUAAAGCUCUUUUACCCGGGAUGAUAAUGACAGUACCGGGAGAAUAAGCUCCGGCUAACUACGUG
rnacentral:rRNA from 1 species